UACAGAGGGUGCGAGCGUUAAUCGGAAUUACUGGGCGUAAAGCGUGCGUAGACGGCUAUCUAAGUCGGGUGUGAAAGCCCCGGGCUCAACCUGGGAAUUGCAUUCGAGACUGAAUAGCUAGGGUACGGUAGAGGGAAGUGGAAUUUCCGGUGUAGCGGUGAAAUGCGUAGAUAUCGGAAGGAACAUCAGUGGCGAAAGCGACUUCCUGGACCAGUACCGACGUCAGCACGAAAGCGUGGGGAGCAAACAGGA
rnacentral:rRNA from 1 species